GUAAGCAAAACUGAAGUGGUCUCUUGACCGGCAAAGUAGAACAACUUGCAUUCCUCUAUUAUAUCAUCAAUCGUAAUCCCAUUGUUCUUGUUUUUAUCUUUGGAGGCCGCGUUCUGGUUAUAGGAUUGCAAAAGCAAGCCGAAAAUCUAUACAACAAAAAACUAUCAAGUCAGGGCAUUCAGUUACACACAAUAAAUAUAGAUAGAUGGAAUGUACCUAAAGCCGGGAAGGUACAGCGAUCGAGCUGCUUCCAUGACAAGAACAGCCUGUUCCUUUUGGAGUUCGAAAAUCCGCUUUCCUUCUU